rnacentral:rRNA from 1 species
GUGUCAGCCGCCGCGGUAAUACGGAGGGUGCAAGCGUUAUCCGGAUUCACUGGGUUUAAAGGGUGCGUAGGCGGGUAAGUAAGUCCGUGGUGAAAUCUCUGAGCUUAACUCAGAAACUGCCGUGGAUACUAUUUGCCUUGAAUAUUGUGGAGGUGAGCGGAAUAUGUCAUGUAGCGGUGAAAUGCUUAGAUAUGACAUAGAACACCAAUUGCGAAGGCAGCUCACUACACAAUCAUUGACGCUGAGGCACGAAAGCGUGGGGAUCAAACAGGAUUAGAUACCCUGGUAGUCCACGCCCUAAACGAUGAUUACUCGACAUCAGCGAUACACUGUUGGUGUCUGAGCGAAAGCAUUAAGUAAUCCACCUGGGAAGUACGAUCGCAAGAUUGAA